rnacentral:rRNA from 1 species
CAGCAGCCGCGGGAAUACGUAGGUGGCAAGCGUUGUCCGGAAUUAUUGGGCGUAAAGCGCGCGCAGGCGGAUAGGUCAGUCUGUCUUAAAAGUUCGGGGCUUAACCCCGUGAUGAGAUGGUAUCUGCCAAUCUAGAGUAUCGGAGAGGAAAGUGGAAUUCCUAGUGUAGCGGUGAAAUGCGUAGAUAUUAGGAAGAACACCAGUGGCGAAGGCGACUUUCUGGACGAAAACUGACGCUGAGGCGCGAAAGCCAGGGGAGCGAACGGGAUUAGAUACCCCUGUAGUCCCUGUCUCUUAUACC